GCCUCCUCAAGCAUCUGUUUAAGUUCUGCAGCUUCCUCGUUGGCGUGAUUCAAAUGAGCCUGCAAUUCCAAAACUGCCUGUGAGGCUGCUUGACAUCAACACUUGGAGUAACUACAUUAUCAAGCGAUGCACGACGCGCGUUUCUUUAACUGCAGAUAGAUUGGAGACGAGUCGGGAAGAGGAUUGCCUGGGGUCUGAUACCUACAACAUUUGCUGGUGUAGUGUCUUGUUAUUCGGAGUAUCAUCACAAGGGGCUGGUGUGUGAAGUGCUCCUUUGAUCCACGGCACAGAGGGCCUUGCUGGUUUGGAGCGUGGUGUGGCAGCCAAGGCACGGGCCUUCUUUGCUGGAGGAGG
rnacentral:lncRNA from 1 species